UACGUAGGGUGCGAGCGUUAAUCGGAAUUACUGGGCGUAGAGCGUGCGCAGGCGGUUUCGUAAGCUGGAGGUGAAAUCCCCGGGCUUAACCUGGGAAUGGCCUUCAGGACUGCGAGGCUAGAGUGCGGCAGAGGGAGGUGGAAUUCCACGUGUAGCAGUGAAAUGCGUAGAGAUGUGGAGGAACACCGAUGGCGAAGGCAGCCUCCUGGGCCAGCACUGACGCUCAUGCACGAAAGCGUGGGGAGCAAACAGG
rnacentral:rRNA from 1 species